CUCAUAACAUUGUACUUCUCGGUUUCAUACCAAAAAAUGUCAUACCCACACAACUUACGAUAUUCAAUUCGUUAUAUAUUGUCAGGACCGUUAAUCGUUAAUGUGUUUUAGUUUUGGCAGUCGUUAUGUGUCACAAACCGGAAAAUACAUUGUGCUGUGUACGACAAGAAGUGUGGAAACUGCACAAGUGAACUGAACUGAACCAACGCCUGCGCAGUGAGGGUUGAACACUGAGGAGGCCACUCGGACCAGAGGCAUGGCGAGCACGGGCCGGACGCUCUUCAACGCAUCCCUGACGACGAAGCGCAGAGAUUUGUCAUCAUGGCGGAGGAUGAACAGCCAUCACCAUGCAUGACCUUCCAGAACCCUACCAACCCCGGAGGUAGCCUGCACCACUGCAGCCUCCAACCAGGCUUCUAAUAUCUCCUGAAUGCAUCUCUCGAUAUGUAGACAUCAGCAUCUCAGUCUGGCCCUCAUAGAGAUUUGUCCCACCACAAUGUGCCAGACGUCUUCUCCAUCCAGGCCAAAUACCAAACAGAUCUUAUGAAAAUGGUAAGAAGAUACACCACUUGCCGUAGAGGUCUGAUUGGGAUUUUGUAUCCGAUUGAUAAUGGCGCUGCCAAAUGGCUG